UCGAUUGGGAUUGUAGCGUACUCACACCAACUUGUUUUGGUUUACAGCUACUGGAUUUAUUAACAAAGUGGAGAAGAGAACUUUACAUUCAUCGGCUUCGUAUCACAUUGGACUCUAACAUAUUUUGAAAAGAUAAUAGAAUGCACUGAUACAUGUUUUAUUUUUAUGGGUUGCACUUUUGCAAACAGGGCUAUCGACGGGACAAGGCUGCUUUUGGUGGUUACCGAGCAUGCGAAAUGGGGUCAUAUGCUGACGGGGCUUGUUUUGAACUCCGGACUGAAGUGAGUUUUCCCAUAUUUUGGUAGGCAACUUUUUGUCAUCAUAAUGAAAGGACAAAUUCAUAAAGAGUAUGUUAUUUUACGUUCUUAGGGAGAAAAUGUAGCAUACUGCCUAGAAAUUCCACUGCAGCACCAACAGUUUGACAGCACUUAUUGGUUUAGCGCCGUUAGUUUAGCUAAUUGAGACGUAUGCCAUAGCAUAUUCAUAAUUAAGCUCCACACUAACUCGUUUUCAAUGGCUAUAUUAGGAUCUAAAUACCCUAAUAUUUUUUGCUUUUUUAUUUCAGUAAGAACAGUUGUAUUUUUAAAUACAAGUACUAUUUAAAAUUCCAAAAUGGCUAGCCCAACUACAGAGGAGCAGGGUUGUUUUUCAGAUGUAAGAAAGGUGGGUUAUUUAAGGAAACCUAAAAGCAUGCACAAAAGGUUUUUUGUCCUGCGGGCUGCUAGUGCUGCAGGACCCUCCAGGUUGGAGUACUACGAAAAUGAAAAAAAAUGGAGACACAAGUCCGGGGUGCCUAAAAGGUCAAUCCUGCUGGAGAGCUGCUUCAACAUAAAUAAAAGGACAGAUUCCAAAAACAAAUACCUGGUGGCUCUUUACACCAAGGAUGAGUAUUUCUCUAUUGCAGCGGACAGCGAGCAGGAACAAGACAGGUGGCACCAAGCACUAGUGGACCUACACAACAAAGGUAAAGUUCAUGAUGCUGCUGUUGGUGGCAGUGGGAUGGCAGAGGAAAAUUAUGGAGAAGAAACCAUGCCAGGACCUGCCUUUAAAGAAGUCUGGCAAGUUAUUUUGAAACCAAAGGGCUUGGGACACACCAAAAAUUUAAUUGGGAUUUACAGAUUGUGCCUAACAAAUAAAACCAUCAGCUUUGUGAAAUUGAACUCGGACGCAGCGGCGGUCGUGCUGCAAUUAAUGAAUAUACGGAGAUGCGGUCAUUCAGAGAAUUUCUUUUUCAUUGAAGUGGGAAGAUCCGCAGUCACAGGACCGGGGGAAUUUUGGAUGCAAGUGGACGACUCUGUUGUUGCUCAAAAUAUGCAUGAAACCAUCCUGGAGGCGAUGAAAGCGAUGAGUGAGGAAUUUCGUCCCCGGAGCAAAAGCCAUUCCUCGUCAAACUGCUCCAACCCAAUCUCUGUGCCUUUGAGAAGGCAUCACCACAACAACCUGCCACCUAGCCAAGUGGGACUGGGAAGGAGGUCCCGGAUUGAGAGUGUGACGGCCACCUCUCCUGCUGGCCCGGGAAAGCACAGUCAUUCAUUCAGAGUGAGGGCCUCUAGUGAUGGGGAAGGAACCAUGUCCAGACCUGCCUCAGUGGAUGGGAGCCCCUGUGCUGCCAGGACACAAUCUCACAGACACAAAGGGGCCUCCCGCCUCCACCCUCCCCUCAACCACAGCAGGUCUAUCCCCAUGCCCUCUUCGUGCUGCUCCCCCUCAGCAAUUAGCCCAGUUAGCCUGUCCUCCAGCAGUACGAGUGGGCACGGCUCCACUUCAGACUGUCUCUACCCCUGCCGCUCCAGUGCCUCCAUAUCUGGCUCUCCUAUUGACGCGGGAUUCAUUUCCUCUGAUGAGUAUGGAUCCAGCCCCUGUGACUUCAGGAGCUCCUUCCGCAGUGUCACACCUGACUCCUUGGGUCACACACCGCCCGCCAGGGAGGAAGAACUCAACAACUACAUCUGCAUGGCAAAGCCUGCAACUCUUCUGAGGGGCCACUGUGGCUGCAGCCCCCACCCCCAUGGUACGCCAUCCCACCUGGACGAGCCUGAGCUGGAGAAGUGCUUCGGGAAACGGACACACUCCUCAAGCACAUCUCCCCUGACAGUGUGCCACCAGAAGACCCCCUCUCAGUCCUCCACAGUAUCGCUGGAGGAGUACACAGUAAUGCAGCCUGCAUACUCGUCAUGCAGCCGAGCAUCCAGCUACAGGCACUCUGCCUUCAUGCCCACACACUCAUUCCCAGAGGAGGGCAUAGACAUCCCCUUAGAGGGCAACAGGGUGAGCCAAAAAGAUGAUGGCUACAUGCCCAUGACCCCAGGUGUGGCACCUGCCACAGGUAAAAGUGCCGACUACAUGCCCAUGAGCCCCAAAAGUGUGUCGGUGCCACAGCAGAUUAACUCCCACCAGCACCCCAAAAUGGACUCCAAUGGGUACAUGAUGAUGUCACCCAGCGGGAGCUGCUCACCAGACACCACAAACUACGGUCAAAUCUGGACCAAUGGGGUCAACCCUAAGCUGUCUGUCGAGAGCACAGAGGAGAAAUUGUUGUCGCAUGGGGAUUACAUGAACAUGUCACCGGCGAGCUGCUCCAUGACUAGCACACCGCCAGACUGCUACAUCAACCUGGUAGAGGAUCCACCCAAGUCCAUAUACGCCUACUUUUCCUUGCCUCACUCUUUUGAACACAGCCACAGGAAGCUGGACCAGAACCCCCUGCUCCUUUCGCUCAGCUCUGGACACCUGGCCUUCGGGGACACUUUAGCCUCCUCCACGAGCAGCGACAGUCUGAUGGGACAGGGCCACAGUAGUCAGCCCGUGGUCAAGUCCAAGAGAGCUGAUGUGGACAGCAGGCUGGCCAGGCCCACGCGCCUCUCUCUGGAGGGCAACAAAGCCAGCACCCUGCCUUGCACCCAUGAGUGCCCCUUCCCUACAGAUCCCAAGAGCCCCGGGGAGUAUGUCAACAUAGAGUUCAACGACAAGGCCUUCUCAGCCGACUUGGCCACUCACUUCUCCCCUGUGUUCCCAGGGAGUGGCCCAGAGAAGCCAGCAGAGAUUUCCUCAGACUACAUGAACAUGCACCUGGGUGCUCAGGGCAGGGGCAUUCCCAACUGGGAAGCCAAACCCCUAGCCUCCUGCACAGAUUGCUAUGCUAUAGUGGCACCUGUUGCUCCCUCCUCCUCUGUAAUCCCCUGUGAGAACCUCUGUAGACGGGACUACAGCAGCACACAGACGGACUACUCUGACACACACAUGAUUCUGAAUGCUCCGAUGUCGACCAUUGAUGCCUCCCCCUUCUCUGUGUCCCCUCCAAGCCAGGACCUGUCUGUGCUGGGUGCGGGUCCCAGUGCCGUGCCCUUAGGACUAAUGGGCCCUCUCUCUGGGCUGAGUGCUUUCACCAGGGUUAACUCCAGUUUUAUCUGGAACCAAGGAGCUAAAUUGAUCCGUGCCGACCAGCAGGGCCGGCGCCGGCACAGCUCCGAGACCUUCUCCACAGGAGUCCCGGUCAGCGCCGCCGCGCCCUCCGUGGAGGAAGUGAAACGUCACAGCUCCGCCUCUUUCGAGAAUGUGUGGCUGAAGCCGGGAGAAUCCCCAUUAUCUGCCAACAGCAGGAGAGAAAGCCCAUUGGCGCCCAGCUCUAACGGACAGAACCAGAACAGGCUGAACUACAUCGACCUGGACCUGGCUCAGGACCAGAACCUCCCAGAGUGGAGUUCCCUCCCGGCCAGAGCCAUGGACACGCAAGGUGGGAGUGCCCCAGAGGACCUGCGUGCCUAUGCCAGCAUUAGUUUUCAGAAAGCAGGCGAGUCGAGGAUGAACCCCGCUCAUAGAGAAGGAAAGCAGCAGCUGUCAGAAAAAUAUGCAUUGAAAGAUGAGAUGAGCCCCUCAGCACCGAGGAGGGGGAGAGGGAGAGGAUGAAGAGAGGGGGGAGCAGCAUGGCAAGGGGAAGUAGCGAACCAACCUACUGUAGCAGCCCAUAGCUCUAGAAACAAGGCCAGAGAAUGAAGAUGGGUGCUCUCCAGUGAAUUUAGACUUCCUUGUCAUAGAACAGACAUCAUAGAAUGGACCUCACAGAUUCACAACCAGACCUCACCAGUCAGGCCCCGCAAACCUGACUUGACAAAACUAUUACUGGACAUUACAAUCCAGACCUCAUAAUCUGGAUUUCACAAUCCUUACUUCUUCAUCUGGAUUUUGCAAUCCAGAAUUCACAGUUUGGACAUUGUAAACCAAACCUCACAAUCCAUUAUCUGGACUUCACAACCCGGACCUGCAGUGUUGAUGCUGUAUCCCAGGUCCUCCUCUUAGCACCGGUAUGGUACUACUUAACGGUACUCAGCCUCACUGCACCACUUCCUCAGGCAACAAAGCGGCAAACCUGCCCAGUCUCACCUGAGGACUGCCCAGUCUCAAACCUGCCCAGUCCCCCACGUCAUAUUUCAAUUUUCUUCACUUAUUGGCUUUCUGUUGCUUUUGUUUCUUGUUACGGUCAUUUACAUUUUGGCCAGUUUGGCUUCCAGGCCAGUGUCCCCACCACACAACUCAGGUGCUCCCAUAGCAUCAUACCAAGCCUCCAAAUGGCUACAGUAGUCACUAGUGUUACUUGAACUGUGUCUUCUGUUACUGGGUCCCUCCAUGUCAGCAACAAAUUGUGCUUCAUUCUAGUAGUUUGUAAAUAGGUUCUCUAUAGGAUCCUCUUAAAUAAUGUGGUACAUGAUAUAUAGACACAAUGUCAAUAGUGUUGUAUCAUCUAUUUUAGAUUUAUUUUACCUUUAUUUUACUAGGCAAGUCAGUUAAGAACAAAUUAUUAUUGUCAAUGAAGGCCUAGGAACAGUGGGUUAACUGCCUGUUCAGGGGCAGAACGACAGCUCGGGGAUUCGAACUUGCAACCUUUCGGUUACUAGUCCAAUGCUCUAACCACUAGGCUACCCUGCCGCCCUAUCUAAACAUCCAGUCAGGCAGGAAUAGUCCCAUAUCUGAGCUGUUGGUACUAAUACUGACACUGUCUAGCUGAAAUGUAAUGGCUUUCACAGAUCUAAUGGCAGAGGAACUCUAUGUUGCUGUGGAUUUCUAACAUUUCUAUUUCUAUGGUACAGCAUUGUCACCAAGUAUAUGUGGUUGGAGCAAAUCAUAUCAACUCUUAGGGCUACAUUGUAACAGUCUCUUCCAUAGAGGCACCUCUGUAAAGGCUUGGAAGCCAGUAAAGUUGCUUGCGACGUUAUCAUUUUAUUUACCAUUUUAUUUUUGCAGAAAAACAUGGACUGUAAUAGAUUCACACAAAAAAGGGCAUAUUUUCUGUCAUUCUUGCUGCUGACGACUUUGACAAACCAUCUCUGUAAAUUAUUGAAUAUAUAAUGUCAAUUGUUUUGAAAGACAAGAUUAUUUAACAUGGUUUAUAUCGGUGCAUUUUGAAUUUAAACUGAAACGUGUCCAAUAUUUUUGUAUCCCUUAUCAAUGGGAAAUCUGCUUCUUACAUAUGAUCCUAUAUAUUCCUGUCCACCUCAUGGGUUUUUGUUCUUUUGUUGAACAUUUCGAAUGUUGUCAAGUGGAUUCUAGGUACUACCCAUGUUAAACAAGAACCCCACUCCUCCAAACACACCAGCACCAUCCCAAUGGGCCUGUUCCUGAGAGUCCUCUGUUUCUCUAACACUAUAGGCUACAGCUGUGUUGCUCUGUAAUCCUGUAGGCUGCAAUUGUGUAUUUUUCUAACUGGAUUGGCUGCUUCUGUAAUCUAAUAGGUUGCUUUCCUGCGGCCACCGAACUUCACCUGAAUGCUACUUAUGGGCAUAUUCAGUACGGUGUAAUUCCGAAACACACUGUAGAAAACAAAUUGUGCUAUAUUGCACAUAAUGAGAAAAGGCAAGACAAGAUGAACCUCAAACCUCUCCACCAACCCUGUCUUCCACUGUAAAUAAUGUAUUGUAAGACAACAGAUAAUAGAAAUAAUAAAUGUAUGGGUUGGAACGACUGAAUAUAACGUCAAUGUGGUGAACAACAUGAGUGAAUGUUAUAUAAGAACUAUCAACUGAACAAAUGAAGAAUGAAUGAAUUAAUAAACGCAUUUUUGGAUGUACAAAUUAGCGGAUGAGUAAAUAAAUGCAUUAAAGAAUGACAGGGAUAGCAAGAGCACCAAUAUAAUAUAGCUUGGGGCUUUGCAUUCUCAUAUACCCCCGUGCCCUUUGCUAGGUUCUGACAAAGUGAAAAAAACUACUCAAAGCUCAAGCCAAGUUUAUUCACCCACUGGGUCAAACAGCUGAAAAGACAACAUGUUUCUACCAGCACAAGUAUUUAUACCCUCCUAUUAGGCGGAGUCUCCUCUUUGCAGAUCUAGACAGCCAAUACAUCUCUGUUGCUAGGCAGGAACUUGGGUGGUGUGUGUUAAAAUGUUCCUUGUCAGUUCUAUUACCUCAGCCCUCAUUCCUCAGUCCUCCCUAAUGCAAGGCUAUCCAACCUUAUCAAUGACUGAAAAUAGACAGUUACCCUCAAUGAGAUUUAACAAUAACAUAUACUAUGUAAAGUAGUUCUAGUAGUGUAUGAUGACAUGGUCUAAGAUGUUUCUACAACUUGAUUGGAGUCCGCUUUUGGUAAAUUCAAUUAAUUGGACAUGAUUUGGAAGGGCACACACCUCUCUAUAUAAGGUUCCACAGUUGAGCUCGUUGAGCACCAAGACAGGAUUGUGUCGGGGCAAAGAUAUGGGGAAGGGUACCAAAAUAUUUAUAAAAUUGUAUUGUAACAACGUUAUACAUGUAAAGUAGUAGUAGUAUAGUAGGGUAGAAACUUUCUGGAACCUCCGUAAUAAAGUAGAUAUUUUAAUA